rnacentral:rRNA from 1 species
AAUCAACGCUGGCGGCGUGCCUCAGACAUGCAAGUCGAACGAUUAAAGCUCUCUUCGGAGAGUGCAUAGAGUGGCGCACGGGUGAGUAACACGUAAGUAAUCUACCUUCGAGUGGGGAAUAACGUCCGGAAACGGACGCUAAUACCGCAUAAUGCAGCGGCAUCAUAAGAUGACAGUUGUUAAAGAUUUAUCGCUUGAAGAGGAGCUUGCGGCAGAUUAGCUAGUUGGUAAGGUAAUGGCUUACCAAGGCUACGAUCUGUAACCGGUCUAAGAGGACGGUCGGUCACACUGACACUGAAUAACGGGUCAGACUCCUACGGGAGGCAGCAGUCGGGAAUUUUGGGCAAUGGGCGAAAGCCUGACCCAGCAACGCCGCGUGAAGGAUGAAGUAUUUCGGUAUGUAAACUUCGAAAGAAUGGGAAGAAUAAAUGACGGUACCAUUUAUAAGGUCCGGCUAACUACGUGCCAGCCGCCGCAGUAAC